AGAACGAACGCUGGCGGCAGGCUUAACACAUGCAAGUCGAACGCUCGUAGCAAUACGGGAGUGGCAGACGGGUGAGUAACACGUGGGAACGUACCCUUCGGUUCGGGAUAACACAGGGAAACUUGUGCUAAUACCGGAUACGUCCGAGAGGAGAAAGGUUUACCGCCGAAGGAUCGGCCCGCGUCUGAUUAGCUAGUUGGUGAGGUAACGGCUCACCAAGGCGACGAUCAGUAGCUGGUCUGAGAGGAUGAUCAGCCACAUUGGGACUGAGACACGGCCCAAACUCCUACGGGAGGCAGCAGUGGGGAAUAUUGGACAAUGGGCGCAAGCCUGAUCCAGCCAUGCCGCGUGGAUGAUGAAGGCCUUAGGGUUGUAAAGUCCUUUUAACGGGGAAGAUAAUGACGGUACCCGUAGAAUAAGCCCCGGCUAACUUCGUGCCAGCAGCCGC
rnacentral:rRNA from 1 species